GCGGCGGCCACGUAGCUGCCGGCGAGCUCGCCAGUUGCCUCCGCCGCCGCCUUGGAAUCUGGGGCCCCGACGGCCGGCGAGACCCCGCCUCCGCCCGACCCCGGGGAGGCCGCGCGGCUGCUGCGCCUGCCCCAGCCGCCGCACCUGGGAGCGGUGAUCACCAGGAGAGGUGGGGCGUGGCAAGAGGCUGGCCGGGCGCCGGAGCAGCUUCGCCAAAAGCCAGCCGGACCGGCGCAAGGCGGAGGGGGAGGGUCUCGGGGCAGAGGCCGGCUCCUCCGAGGGAGAGACCCCAGCUGGGGUGGAAAAGGGCACAAAGCAGCUGCACAGACGCUGGGCGCGGAUCAUGGAGCGGGCCAGCCCCGGCUCCGGGGAGUCGAAGCUGCAGCGGGACCAGGAUUCCGUGGAAGCGUGGCUGGAUGAUCACUGGGACUUUACCUUCUCUUACUUUGUUAGGAAAGCCACCAGGCCGGUCUAGUAGACCACAACUACACACGCCCAGCCGGGACCCUGCGGAGCUUGACCACCCAGAACUGGGCGACCACGCCUACCCCCUGCGCCUGCGGACAGGCCAGCUCCGAAAAGCGCCCAGAGGACCUGCAGGCCCCGCCCCACGGGGCGGGGCCUAGAGGCUCAUCGCGCCUGCGCGGAGGCCCGAGGGCGUGCUGCGCCGUUACUUUUGAAACGAGUGGCGGGGAACUGCUGUGGGCGUCUCUGCUGUCGCUCUCUGCCGGGGGAAAGCGCACUCCUUCGUCUGUAGGACUGGCCAUGGCGCUGCAGCUCUCCCGGGAGCAAGGCAUCACCCUGCGCGGGAGCGCCGAAAUCGUGGCCGAGUUCUUCUGUAAGUCGUCCUCGCGCAGGCCGGAGGGCGGGGUGAACUGAGGCCAGGCCGCCCGGUAGGCCCGGGGCUCAGCCGCGGAGGCGGGGGAAGCGGGAGGGGGUGGAGGGGAGGCCGCGAGGCCGCGAGGCCGCGAAUUAAGCUCUCUCUGCCCCAGCCUCCUGCCCGGCGGGAGAAUCUAGGAAGAAGCGGAUGCAGACGCCGCCUCCGGGCUCCUUGCUAAUGGUGGAGCUUGAGGCCUAGGUGCUGCUGAGGCCUGCGGCGCGAUGUAGCCCCUCCACCUGCAGCGUUGCUUUCAACUACAGAGCCAGGCACUUUCCGCCCGCCCCCAGCCUCCGCGACUUCAGACGGAGUAGGACCGGGGUGGGGGCCACGUAUAUUUUUAACAACCCCUCGGCCCCUCUUUGAUUCUGGUAUUGGCGGUGAUGGACUAGAGUUAGGAAACGCCAUUCCGGACCAGGACAGUUGUGCCUUCUGAUAGGAUCUGGCAGGACUUGUGAGGAGAAAAGGAGGAAAAAGAGGGAAAGGUUUGCUGAGAGCAUUGCAGAGAACAGUUAAUCAGUUGCUAACUGAGAUGCAAAAGCCUAUUUUGACAGCCUCUAACCACAUAAUCUGAAUUGGGACUUGGAUUACAGUGAGUUGUAGUACUACUUUGACAGUAGAUUAAUGCAGUUUGGCGUUUUUCUCUUUUUUUGCCACAGAAAUGCAGGUAUCGUGUUCUCUCUUAAUUAGAAGCAAGGUUUUAAGAAUGUUUAAUGCCACUUUUUAGGAAUACUUUUAUUACAGCCCAUCAGGGGCUGUAACUUUAACCUACGAAUUGGUGUGGGAGGGAGACACAAUUCAAUCUAUGGCAAGCAGCAAUAGUUCAGCUCUCCCCACCGCGGCGUGCACUCACGCACACGCGCACGCACGCACGCAUUCUCGCGCACGCCCGCACGCAUUCUCGCGCACGCACGCAUUCUCGCGCACGCACGCACGCAUUCUCGCGCAGGCACGCACUCACAAGGCGCGGCCCCGGGAAAGGGGACUAGAGUUUAUGUGUCCUACCGUCAGCAGCUGGGAAGCUGUGUAGGCCCCUCUCUUCCUUCUCCAGGCCUUACAGGGGUCCUAGCCUGCUGCAAGGGGUAAGUUAAAGGGGUUUAUGGAAGAUCUUGCGGCACACUGGGCAACACUCCAUCUGGUCAGCCAUCAAAAGAGUUCUAAAGAUCAUUGAGUAAAAAAUAUAUUCACUGGACAUAGAUUGGAAAAACAGCCAGUCUGCUUAGUCCCUGGGCCCAAGACAUGGACAGUAUUUGGAGGCAAGAGUACAACAUAAGGAAAUCAUCAGAAGCACAGGCAAAGAAUUAUGUACCAGGAUGUUCAUAGAAGCAUUAUUUAAAGUUGCAGAACAACCAAAAAAAAAAACCUGGACUCAAACCAAAUAGCCCAAAAUAUGGGAUAGUUAAAUAAGAUGGGCUAUUAAACAGACAUUAAAUAUUAUGUUUUCAAAAUAUAUUUAAUUAAAUGGAAAAAUACCAGAUACUGUAAAGUUAAAAAACAUGCACAGCCGUAUAUAUAGUAUGUUUUAAAUCAGUGUCAAAAGUGCUACGUUCAAAAUGAGCCGAGACUUGUGAAAAAUACUUAGGACAAUAUAAAAUACUCUUCCAUCAUAUUUUAGGCAAUGAGAAAAGACAAGGCAGGAAAAGAACCGUACUGCUUGGGGAAGAGAGCAAUUUGCUAACAAACAUUAGAAUUUCUUUUUCUCCAGCCAGGAAAAUGAUCUUCAAAUUCUACAAAUAGAAUAUGCAAAGAAAACGUAAAUUUCAACACCAAAUGGUGAAGAAAGCUAGUAGUCCAUAGUUUAGAUAAAGAUAAAAAUCCUGUGUUUGUGUACCAUCACAUCUAUGACACUGGGCACAUUGGCACAUAAUACCAUCUCAGUUAAACUUGUGACAAACAACUAAGUAUAAGAAUGAAUACAAUGAAUACGCACUGAGAAGUAUUCAAAAUGGUGGUUAUCAGUAGCUUAGAAGUGGGAGAUAUGCAAAGAUAAUUGAUUAAAGGGUAUAAGCUUCCAGUUACAGGAUUAGCAAGUUCAGGGGCACCUGAGUGGCUCAGUGGGUUAAGCAUUUGCCUUUGGCUCAGGUCAUGAUCCCGGGGUCCCGGCAUUGGGCUCCCUGCUCAGUGGGGAGCCUGCCAGGGAGCCUGCUUCUCCCUCCCUCCUCGCUCUUGCUCUCUCUCGCUAUCUCUGUCUCUCUCAAAUAAAAAAAUAAAAUUUUGAAAAAAACUAAGAUUAACAAGUUCUGGGGCUCUAAUGUAUAACAUGGUGAUUACAGCUAAUAAUACUUUGUAUUAUAUAUGUUUAUUUAUAUUUAUAUUAUUAUAGCUAAUAAUACACUUUAAAGUUGGUAAAAGAGUAACUCUUAAAUGUUCUCACUACAAAAAAGAAAUGGUAAUUAUGUGACAGGACAGAGGAGUUAGCCAUAGGAUUAUGACUUAGUCAUAAUCAUUUUGUAAUACACAAGUUUAUUAAAUCAACACCCUGUAUACCUUAAACUUACACAAUGUUAUAUGUCAAUUCCCUCUCAAUAAAGUGGGGUAAAAUUUUUUAAAUAUAUAUUUUUUAAAGUAUCAAGGACUUCAAAAAAAUUCAGUGAUAUAUCGAGUUGCUCAAAAAAUGUCCAGGUAUGUCCUCAGUAUUUGUAGAUAAAUUUCAAAACAUCAACGAAUCUCUUGAACGGUUUCAGAAGAGUGUGUAGAGAUUUUCCAAUAAUUUAUCCUGGAAAUGAAAAUUGAUGUAUUCGAUACAUUCAAUCCUAAAGACCAAGGAGAUGUUAGAGCAGAUUGCCAUACAGGUGAUUGAUCAGAAGGGAUUGUCGUGCUUAAUGUCAAAACAAUUAUAUAUCCUUUUAACCAUAUGUGACCCAACAGAACUCAGCCUCUGCUGGUAAUUGUCUUUCAUUAUUUGGUUAAAAAAUUUUUUUUUAACAAAAAUAGGGAACCACUGGAGAUUUUUGAACAGGGAAACACCUCUCAUUGAUAAAGAUCAGUCAGUUCUGUACCUAAUACACUGGAAAUUGAAGAGACUGGAGGCCUAAAGAUCAAGCAUAUGACAAACUAGAAUAUUCUAGGUAAAAGCAGUAAUAGGGUAAGAAAUACAAAGUAAAAGUCAAAAGGGUGUUAAUAGUAGAGACAUAAAGAGAAAAGCAGCAGUACAACUGACCUAGCUGGAAGAUGGAAACAGAAAAAAUCAGAGACUAUGCCAAGAUUUCAAAAUUGGAUGGCUAAGUGAAUAGUUGUGCCAUGACUAGAAAGAAGAAAGUCGUGUUUCCUAACUUAGAGUGAGGUGAUGCUUAAUUCGAUUAUUACUCAUUAUACGUUGGAACUCUCAAAUAGCGCAUUGAGAUUAUGGACCCGGCCCUCUGGAGAAAAGUAUAUGCAGUCCUGCGCCUACACCGUGACGGAACCCGGGAGGUGGGGGUGUGGGGGUGGGGGGGCGCCGAGGUUGUGCACAUAGCCUGCUGGGCCAGGUGGAGCACGCCAUCUGCUGUGACUGAUAUUCGCAAAAAUGAGUCCCCGUGUUCUACGAAAAAGAAGUUCAUUGAGUUUUGAGUGUAGUCCACGUCCACUAACUGCUUCCUCUUAUUCCAUUCUUUACUGUGUGCUGAAGACCCAUCAACGAAUAAAGCAGUCUCUUGAGAUUGCCACGAAGCACAAAAUUUUAGAGAUUUUUUUCAGUAUUCUCUAUAUAAGAAUAACAGUGUGUUGUAGAAAUAUUUCUAUCAGAAAUAGUAAAAAAAAAAUAGGCUUGUCAUUUAAAUGCAUAUUCUUCGGAUAUCUGGGAAGUGUACUGGCAUGGAACAAACUUUUCUUGAGCAAUGCUGGGAAAAUGAGGUGUUGCUGUAUUGGGUUAGUGAUAUUAAAUCAGAGAUUAUAUGUAGACAGUGAAGGGAUUGAGAAGUAAUUUUGGUUUCCUUUUCAGAACGGGGGGAUCAGAGAGAUUUUUUUUUUUAAUAAUAAUCAUCAAGUACGGUAAUGGCAAACACUCUGAAAAUAUUAAGUGUUGCAAGCAAUUUAUUAUGUCUAUUACAUUCUCAGAAAGACAAUCAGUCAAUAUUGCAAUCUUAAAUAUAAACUUGCAGAGUGCUAAAUCCUCUUGCAAACUAAACUUCAAAACCCUCAACGAUGAUUGUCUAUAAUAAACAAGGCAGAGUAGUUUACUUAUGGCCCAAAGUUAGACUUUGAAGUUCACUUUUAAAGAACGUAUUUGAUAGUAGUUCUCCAAAAGAAUGUUAAUUACGAAAAUGAAAGGAUGGAUUAAGUCCUGUAAAAUUUUAUUUUUCAAAGAAAUGCUUCAAUGCCUCCUUUGAUAUAUGACUCAUUUCACCACUUUAAAAGACAUAGCAACAGUAAAAACUUCUUUAAAAUUAGCAAAUCAAAAAUUCUAAAAUCUCAUGAUCUGUGUUCACCUCAAAAUCAUAAUACCAUAAUGAUUGCAAGGAUGACAUUAUUGUAUGUACCACAAAGAAAGGAAUAAAAACAAAGCUACACAAGUUAUAACACGUGUUUUUUGUAGCUCAGAACUUUCACUACAUACUUACUGAAAGAGCUUUAUAAUACCUACUGAGGUAUAGGUUUUUAUCUUAUGCCCUGCUUGAAUCUAUAUAAAAAUGAAACUGUAAGAGGGGCGCCUGGGUGGCUCAGUCAGUUAAGCAUCCGGAGGACUCUUGGUUUGGGCUCAGGUCAUGGUCUGGGGCUCAUGGGAUCCAGCCCCAGAUUGAGCUCCAGGCUCAGGCAGGAGUCUGCUUGUCCCUCUCCCUACCCUUGCCCCUCCCCCUGCUCCCUGUUCACGUGCAUGUGUGCUCGAGCUCUCUCAAAUAAAUAAAUAAAAUCUUAGAAAAACAAUAAAGUAUAAGCAAAACAAAUCGGUUAGGGUAUUCCUAAAGCUUACUCCCAUCCCAAAUCCAGUAUUUCCAAACAUGUUCAACUCAGAGUCAUGGAUGACCAUGUUUCCCACACAAUACUAUCAUCUAUGCUAUCAAGAGUGCUGGUCCUACAGUAUCGUCUCUGCAAUUUUAUUCCAAGUUGCUGAUAUUCAUACUGUAAGUUUUUAUGCACGUGGACUAGCAAUGACAAGGACAUCAGAACCACAAGACACAACCUGUUUCCAGAAAUGUGAAAAUGUAAAAAGAAAUGUAAAUGUUAGAAUCUUUGAAAUAUGAUGUAUCUUAAGAGCUAAGAUAUAGUAAAGAAAUUUGAUUUACAGCUCUAAUUUCUGACCCCCUCCCCUCAUGGAAGUAGAGUUGAUACACGGUUCCAUUAGUUUCAGGUGUACGACCCAGGGAUUCAGUGACUCUACACCUGGUGCUGUGCUCACCAUUCAGCUCUAAUUUCUUACAGGCUCUUGGACUUUCUUCGCUGUUCACCAGAAACUGUAAAUCUGACAUUUGCAAAGUGUUAACCUACUCUAAAGGGUGAAUUUGGAACUUUAAAAAGGAAAGCAGUGGCCUUUCUACUGCUUCAGUGAUGUCAGCACCAACAAAGGUAGCAGCCCCGGCAUCCUCACCAGCUAAGGCAAAACCAUCUAUUUGGACUUACGUCUUCGGACCUGUUAAAUUUAUGUAGAACUGAACUCAUCCUAUCCCCACAUUCCCAAGAUUUUUAAAACAAACAAACAAGCAAAGUCCUUGCUUCUCGGAGGUUAUAAGUAAAUCUAAGGGAAAUGGUGUUUUCUGUUGGGGUUGUUUGUUUGUUUGUUUGUUUUGAGAAAACAUUGUCAUCUUAUUUCAAGUUAUAGACUGACUUCUAGAAAUGAGAUUCAAAUUUUUUGAGGCUAUAAACACCGAGCCAAGCAAUACUCUUGAAGUAAACAUCCUAGAAGUCAGACUAGUAUGAUACAUAUGAUUAAGGCAUUGCUGUGCUCACUUUUGCAAGUUUAUACUUAAACCAGAGAAAAUCAGCUACAAGAUGAAUCUAAACAAAUAGUAUGCCGGAAUAUAUUAUGUACACUGAAAUUUUAGUUUUUUAGCGUUCAUAGCGGUAAUGACUCAGAUCAGCUUUGAUAUUUUUUUUUCAAACUUACCAAAUAUCCCAGAAAGUAAAAACACAGAAAUAGCAAAAUAUUUUUUAGAAUUUAAAUGUAAAAUGUUUUUAAAUGCUAAAUUCUGAUCUGUUUGCCACUGGGAAAAUCACAUAAUUUGCAACUAGAUUCUGAGAAAGGGGGAUUAGGAAAAAAAGUAAAGAGCGAACGAUAUGUUUUACUAGACAUUUUCUUCAUGUAUGUUUAUUACUUCUUUAAGAAACAUAAGUUUUAUCAAUCUUUAGUUAAAAGCAUGAAAGAAAAGCAAUCUAAAAUGGGUCAACUGAAAAAAUAUAUAUAACAACGAAACGCUAAAAAUGAAAUUACAUUAGCAUGUACCUGUAUUUCAAAUAGGAAAGUAGAUUUAGCUUGAGAUGAUAUUCAAAAUCUUAAGUGCUGGGCACAGACACCAAUCAAUGAGAAUGGCACUGCUCUCAAUGGCCGGAACAACCAUAUAUAUUAUCAACUGGAUACCAAGCCAGCAAGUCAGCCUGUGAUGUGCUCCACCAAUUGCUCAACAUCCCAAUAUAUGGGAGAAAUAAAUGCAAGAUGUCUACUACUUUUUGUUUGUUUUACUUACUAGAAGAUUUUUGCAUUUUCUUGGAUCAGUUAAUGUGGGGCAAAAUGUUUAGAAAACAAUGUGCACAUUUUCCAUUGAUAGGCAAGAGAUGAUAGAGAUAUGGUGGCCAGUUACUCGAAUUACUAGAGAUGACAGGACCAUCCAACAGAGGGAGGGAAGAAAAGGAAUUCAGAAAAAUGACAACAGAGAAGAAAGAUGGCUAAUGAGAAAUUUCUAGUAGCCAACAUGGCGAGAGGACUUUUAGGAACUACUGUCCUGAUUUAAUUUGCUUUUUUAAUUCUUUCUGUGUUUAAUCCUCCUGUAUUAACCAUGAAACCUAUGCUACUUACAUAAAUACCCUUGUUGUAGUAUAGCUUGGGGAAACUAAAAACCCAAGGCUGAGUCCUAUACUUAAGAAAGAAGAGAAAGAAAGAAAGAAAGAAAGAAAGAAAGAAAGAAAGAAAGAAAGAAAGAAGAAAGAAAGAGAAAGAAAGAAAAAGGAAAGAAGCAGAGUAGGAAAAGGACAGAACCUAAGGAAAAUUACAAAUAGGAAUUGAGAAAUAUACAAGAGUAGUAAUUUAGAGCAGGCUGGAAAUCAUCCCACCCUAACCAAGAAUUAAUAGAAAUACCGAGUAAGGCAAUAGGCCUCUCACAAUACUUAAAAUGGGAGUUCAUCUAUUACAUUUGGACAUAGAAAAAAACUGUAGGUAAUAUCAAAAAGCUGGAGUACAUGGGACAUCUUUGCUUCACUAUAUAACACUUUACCAUAUAAUAAUGGUUGUCAUUAGUUUCUUACUUCCCAUGUGUCAAAGAACCUAAAAAGCUAUUUUAGAAUAAGUAGAUUUAUGGCUUAUUUUGUAUUUAUAUCUUUGACUCAAUGUUUUCUACUAUGUUUCAUCAUUUCACAAUAUGAAAUAUUUCCAUCAAAAAAAAAAAAAACCAAAAAAACCCCCCAAAAAACCCUCCUCUCUCAUCCUAAAAAUACACCCAAAUCAAUCAGUGUUAUUCUCACUCAAAUGCAUAGAUAGGCUGUCACGUACUUACGGACCGCUUGGAUGGAAAUACAAAAAAGGAACAUUUUUAAUGUCAGUUAAGAAUAAUCACUCGUAUGGACCAUAACUGACACUGAAACCAGUUUCUUCGUCAAUGUUUGUGUAGGAGAUGGCUUGGAAAUGGACCAACUUUUUAAGGCCCACCUGUGUCAAAUUGGUCUAGAGGUAAGGAUCAUGCGAUGCAGAUAACAUUUUUAUUUACUUCUUGGAAUUCUAUUCUACGUCUAAAUACUUGACAUAAAAAAUCCUAGAAUAUUGCAAUUUAGAAUAUUUGAGUGAAGUAAGCAAGUUAGACAAAACAAAAGGUUGAAGAACAUUAUGAAUCCCCACAUCAGAUAAGAUCCUUGAUUUUUGUGAGGUGAUAUACUUGCCAGUAAAAUAGCAUUAGGUAGAACAAAUAAAGAACAGAACAAAUAAAUGGAACAAAGUUGAAGAGUUGAAGAAUCCUAAGUAUAACUCCAAUCACUGCUGUUUCAGAGGACGAGCAAUAAACUUCUCAAGAGAGAAAAUAAAGUAGAUUUUGGUUUCUAUGUGGGUAUUAACAACUUGGCAUCCACGAAAAAGUGAUAUAUACUCAUAGGGAGGCACUUGAUUUUCAACUAAUCCUAAAACAAUUCAAUUUAGCAAAACUCUACUGGUAAAGGCCAUUUUACAAUUGAUUUUUUGUGUGUUGAUUUUGUGUCUUACAAACUUGCAAAAUUCACUUAUUAGUUUGAAUAAGUUUUUGCAGAUUCAAUUGGAUUUUCUACAGAGACGAUCUUGCCAUCUGUCAAUAAAGAUAGUUGUACUUCUUCCUUUCCAAUCUGUAGGCCUUUGGAUUUUGAGGGAGUACAAUAUUGAAUAUAAGUGGUGAAAGCAUACAACCUUCACUUGUUCCUGGUCUUAGAGAGGAAAAUACUCAGUCUUUCAUCAUGGAGUAUAAUUUUAAAUAAGGUUUUUUAUAAUUCUUUAGCAGGCUCAGGAAGUUCUCUUUUAAUCCUAGCUUUCUGAAAGAUUUUAACAAGGAAUGGAUGUUGGAUUUUGUCAAAUGCUUUUUCUGCAUAUAUUUGAGCUUAUCAUUGGGUAUUAAAUUGAUAGAUUUUUCAAAUAUUAAA